UACGGGGGGGGCAAGCGUUGUUCGGAAUUACUGGGCGUAAAGGGCUCGUAGGGGGCCAACUAAGUCAGACGUGAAAUCCCUCGGCUUAACCGGGGAACUGCGUCUGAUACUGGAUGGCUUGAGGUUGGGAGAGGGAUGCGGAAUUCCAGGUGUAGCGGUGAAAUGCGUAGAUAUCUGGAGGAACACCGGUGGCGAAGGCGGCAUCCUGGACCAAUUCUGACGCUGAGGAGCGAAAGCCAGGGGAGCAAACGGG
rnacentral:rRNA from 1 species